rnacentral:sRNA from 1 species
CCCCCCCUAAAAAAAAAUGCUACAUGCCUUAUGAUGACAUUAAUUAAAUGAGAUUAUAUUAUUAAGAGGACCUCUACUAGAGCAAUUUAUAAAUAUAACCUUUUUUAUUUACUUUUUGAUACAAAAUUUGCCACAUAAAUCAAAGAAACACUUUCAACCUUUCAUAUACAUUUGCUUUAUUCAAUGGCUUAUUUCCUCAGAACAGCAGUUUAUAAUACUGUGUAAUCAGUUUAAAUUCAUUGGACUGAGUGUCUUGAUCAUAAAAAUUCUUUAGGUACAUGUUGCAAUAUAUUCAUGAUUUAUUAAGGGGCAAGUGUGUACCAGAAAACCUUGAAAAUUAGCUCCUCUGAAUUUCUAUGAUUACACAGUACAAUAAAUUUAAGAAGCAAAGAUAAAGAAACAAAUAAACACAAAUAAAUGCAACUGUUCAAUUCUAGCUUGUUCGAGCAUGUAUGUUAUUAAUAUAUUGAAAAGCACAGGUAACAUUUUUAAUACAAUAAUAUAGCAUGCAUAUUUUUCAUUACAAUUUCAAAUAUAACAUAUGAUAAUAGAAAUUUUGGAGCGGACUAUUGCCGCACCCGAAUCAACACUCCCAAAAAAAGUAAAAAUCAAACCAACAUAUAAAAACCUUUGGAGCAGACUAUUGCCGUACCUGAUUAAACACCUCCAUUU